AGGGGAAUAGCUGGGACAAAUGGUGGGUCCAUUCCCAGCUUUCCAAGAAAUCUCCAUACUGCUUUCCAAAUUGGCUGCACCAAUUUGCAGUCCCACCAGCAAU
rnacentral:pre_miRNA from 1 species